AACCAUAGAAACCUGCGGAGUACCUGCGGAGGGAUCAUUAAUGAAAUUCUUUUUUGUUGCUUUGUUCUGAUCCUCCCAUUCUGGGGGGGGUCCAAAUGAGGCAUCAGAAAACCCCACCGCCCUGUGGAACUGUGGGAGUGCUUCGGCCCUUUUGGGCCGCAUUUAUGCUGAAAGCAAUUGUUGUCUGAACCUUUGAAAAAUUGAAAACUUUCAGCAAUGGAUCUCAGAUCGGAAGAGCAC
rnacentral:misc_RNA from 1 species